rnacentral:rRNA from 1 species
GAUCAUGGCUCAGGAUGAACGCUGUCGGCGUGCUUAACACAUGCAAGUCGAACGAAGCAUUUAGAACAGAUUAUUUCGGUAUGAAGUUCUUUAUGACUGAGUGGCGGACGGGUGAGUAACGCGUGGGUAACCUGCCUUGUACUGGGGGAUAGCAGCUGGAAACGGCUGGUAAUACCGCAUAAGCGCACAAUGUUGCAUGACAUAGUGUGAAAAACUCCGGUGGUAUAAGAUGGACCCG